ACUACGAGUUGGACGCUUAACCGACUAAGUCCCCCAGGCACCCCCUUAUUGCUGUUUCUUGAAAAAGAACAAUUAAAUAAAAUAAGCAUGCUCUUAUCUCAGGUCCUUUGCACAUACUAUUCCUUCUGCAUAAUGGCUCUUUACCCAGAUGUCCCCCCAGAUAUCCACAUAUCUUCUUCCCUCACUUCCUUUAGGCCCCUUAUCAGAGGUCUUCGCUGACCCCCUGUCUAAAAUAACAUGUCUCCAUUCCCAUCACCUCUAUGACCCUCACUCCACUUAAUUUUUUUACGGCACUCGUGACCAUCUGACAUAUAUUUAUGUGUGUAUUUGUCACUUAUCUAUGACCCUCAUUCUGUUUUAUUUUCCUUCAUAGCACUUGUGACCAUCCGAAAUAUGUUAAUGUGUCUCUUUAUCACUUAUCUUCCCACGCUCAAGUGUAAGCUCCAUGUGAGCCAGAAUUUUUUUGUUCACUGUUGUAUCCCCAUGUUUAGAGAGUGUGUUAGCACUAAAACAUAUGAGAAACAUAACCAAUAUUUUUAAUAAAUAAAACUGUUUAUAAGUUCCCCCAAAUGAGUCUUACACAGCCACCCUGGUGUGCAACUACUGGUGUAGCUAAUAUGAAGUAAACUCUCAAAUAUUAAAAAUGUGGAUUUGGCUCAGCAUGUCUCUCAAUUGGCACUGCUUUCAUUGACAUCCAGGGAACAGACACCACACAAGACUAUCCUUGCAAAGCUAUGCCUGGGGUAGGGCACCUGCUCUGGGCACAUAAGGAAGCAGAAGUUCUGCUCAUUUUGUUCCCUGUCUGUUCUCUGAGGCACCCACUGUUGUCAUCUGGGUGGAAACAAGACUGCAUCACUGAAGCCCUCGGGAAGCAGGAUAUGCCAGUCAUCACAGGAGCCACAGAGUCUGAAGAAUUCAGAACUUGAGACCAUGAUGCAGAAACAAGCCAUGUGGAGAGGCUAUAUGGAGGAGAAUUCAAGUCCUUUCUUUGGCAGCUCCGGCCGGCACGAACCACCAGUCAUAUGAAUGAGCCAUCUUGGACGUUUCAGCCCAGUCUUACCUCUGCAGCCCCAAUAACAUCACACAGAACAAAACAACCUCUCAGCUAAGAUAAUUGACCAACAAAAUUGUGAAAAAUAAUACAAUAGUAGUAGUCUUAAGCCAUUAAGUUGGGGGUGAUUUGUUGCACAGGGACAGAUGACAAACAGAAUUUGGCACCUAGUCACAUGAUGGUCUAUAAGAAAAACCUAAAACAUGAAGGACUGGCUUUGAGAGCAAAUAGUGGGGGGAGGCCCGAAGAUUCUCAAAAGGCUAUUGGUGAAGACUGACAGAGCAGUGAGGACAUCACUAUUGGAUGCUGGAGUAAAGGGGAUACCAUUUAUAUACCAGGAGAAAUUUUAUUACAACUGUCGCCGGUGUUAACAUUACAAAUAGAAAUGGUGCUUCACAAACCUGUAGAUCUGGCUAAGAUUUCCAGGCAAAAUGUUAAAAGUGUAGGAUGGCUCCUUUAAGCUUCCUGUACUUUGAUAAAAUACAAGAAGGAAGGAAUGAACUAAAUAAACAACGAUUUGAGCAGAAUUUGGAGGAAAAAUAGAGGGUACAGGAAAGUCUUCAAGGUAGCAAAUGUUCUUCAAGUAAGAAAUGGCCUUAAGGCAAAGAUCAAAUCUAGGGUGCUAUCAAUAAAACAUAGCUUCAGUGUGAAAUUCAGAACAAAGGUGCAAGAUCUUUUGCAAAGGCAAAAAGAUUUGAUUUGGUGCCUAAGUGACCCUCAGGCCAGACAAAAAUACUUCUAAAUAUCUUAAGGGCAUGAUUUGUAGACCCCCAGCAAUAGAGCUUCCAAGCAUAUUAAGGUUGUUAAAGCAACUUUGAUGCUGGUGUAUAACUAGUAAACUAGGAAAGAUAAAUAAUAAUGCUAACAAUCCCAUCUGAAUGUGGCUUCACGAAACAUAUUGUUGACAAUGCUGUGAAAUUGUUUCAGGCUUUCUAGAAAGUAGUCUGGCGAUAGGUAAAAAAUGUUUGUGUCUUUUUUCCAAAUAGUUUAUCUUUAGGAAUAUUGACCUAAGGAAAUGACCCCAAAGAGAUAAUUUUUAAAAAGCCAUUCAUCUAAACAAGCCUUCAUGGUCACAUUAUUUAUAAGAGAAAGAAACUGGAAACAAUCCAAAUGUCCAAAAAUAGAGAUUUGGAUGUACAAACUGUGGCAUAUUUACAUGACGGACUGCUCUAUAAUCACUAAAAAAGACAAGUUUAUGGAUUGUGUUGACUCAAGAUUAUGUGGGCUUGAAAUAUCAUUAAUAAAGGAGCAAAGUAGGAAAUGGUAAGUGUAUAGCGACUUCAUUAAAACAAGUACCAUCUAUAUAUUUUUCAUAAAAUAAAGAAAAUGUGUAUGCAA